CAUUAUCUCUUUCUCCUUUAGUAUUGAGAAGUACAUUCCAGGCAUGGCAUUCCUUUUGGGGUUUUACCAGAAACAUGACACAAAUGCCAAACAUGAAGUUUCUGCAUCAGUUGUUGCAGCAACAGCAGGCAGCAUUGCUAUGAAGAUCAAGCUCCCUGAUUUGACAGUAUAUCAUCAGGAGAUCGCUAUUCCAAUCCAAGUGACCGAUUUUGAGGAUGGUCAACAGUCCAUGGGAAACUCAACAUUGGAGAUGCAUAGAGAGCUAUAAGAAGGACAACGAAAGGAACAGACAUCCAUGACCAUGCAGUGAAUCUUUUCAUCAGCAAUGAGGCAAAUGGCAUACAUUCCCAUUUCUAAAAAGU